AAGGAUUUAGUUUAAUUAAAACUUUAGUUUGUCAAACUAAGAACAUUAUUCUAUAUAAUAUUCCUUA
rnacentral:tRNA from 1 species